GUAGGUGGCAAGCGUUGUCCGGAAUUAUUGGGCGUAAAGCGCGCGCAGGCGGUUCUUUAAGUCUGAUGUGAAAGCCCACGGCUCAACCGUGGAGGGUCAUUGGAAACUGGAGAACUUGAGUACAGAAGAGGAAAGCGGAAUUCCACGUGUAGCGGUGAAAUGCGUAGAGAUGUGGAGGAACACCAGUGGCGAAGGCGGCUUUCUGGUCCGUAACUGACGCUGAGGCGCGAAAGCGUGGGGAGCAAACAGGGAUUAGAUACCCUGGUAGUCCACGCCGUAAACGAUGAGUGCUAAGUGUUAGGGGGUUUCCCGCCCCUUAGUGCUGCAGCUAACGCAUUAAGCACUCCGCUGGGGAUACGGCCGCAAGGCUG
rnacentral:rRNA from 1 species